UGGGGAAUAUUGGACAAUGGGCGAAAGCCUGAUCCAGCAAUGCCGCGUGAGUGAUGAAGGCCUUAGGGUUGUAAAGCUCUUUUACCCGGGAAGAUAAUGACUGUACCGGGAGAAUAAGCCCCGGCUAACUCCGUGCCAGCAGCCGCGGUAAUACGGAGGGGGCUAGCGUUGUUCGGAAUUACUGGGCGUAAAGCGCACGUAGGCGGCUUUGUAAGUUAGAGGUGAAAGCCUGGAGCUCAACUCCAGAAUUGCCUUUAAGACUGCAGAGCUAGCAGGUGAGAGAGGUAAGUGGAAUUCCGAGUGUAGAGGUGAAAUUCGUAGAUAUUCGGAAGAACACCAGUGGCGAAGGCGGCUUACUGGCUCAUACUGGACGCUGAGGUGCGAAAGCGUGGGGAGCAAACAGG
rnacentral:rRNA from 2 species